UAGUGCAUCGGAACGUACCGUGUAGUGGGGGAGUAACGUAGCGAAAGUUACGCUAAUACCGCAUAUGCUCUUCGGAGGAAAGUGGGGGACCGGCAAGGCCUCACGCUAUAUGAGCGGCCGAUGUCUGAUUAGCUAGUUGGAGGGGGUAAAGGGCCCACCAAGGCGACGAUCAGUAGCGGGUCUGAGAGGAUGAUCCGCCACACUGGGACUGAGACACGGCCCAG
rnacentral:rRNA from 1 species